rnacentral:lncRNA from 1 species
CUUUUUUUUUUGAUUAUUGAUUUUGAUGGAAGUGAUUCAAGGCUUCCAAUCAGAUAUCAAGCUCCUCAAGAUUAAAAACCUUGUGGGGUCUGAAUUUUUUGGCACUCUUGUGAUUCUAAAAUUUCACUGUAUAUAAUAUAAGAUAUUGUUAGCAAAAUAGUAACGAUUAAUGAAUGAUUAUAGUUUACUCAUUUUCCAGUGUGUAUGUUCUGUUCUUUGUUAUCUGUUUGUGAUGAUGCAUCUUAUUAUUUCUUGAAUCUUAAUUUGUUUUAUUUGUUCAUUUGUGUCUGCAACUAUAGGCC